rnacentral:rRNA from 1 species
GGGGAAUAUUGCACAAUGGGGGAAACCCUGAUGCAGCGACGCCGCGUGGAGGAAGAAGGUCUUCGGAUUGUAAACUCCUGUUGUUGAGGAAGAUAAUGACGGUACUCAACAAGAAAGUGACGGCUAACUACGUGCCAGCAGCCGCGGUAAAACGUAGGUCACAAGCGUUGUCCGGAAUUACUGGGUGUAAAGGGAGCGCAGGCGGGCGAUCAAGUUGGAAGUGAAAUCCACGGGCUCAACCCAUGAACUGCUUUCAAAACUGGUCGUCUUGAGUAGUGCAGAGGUAGGCGGAAUUCCCGGUGUAGCGGUGGAAUGCGUAGAUAUCGGGAGGAACACCAGUGGCGAAGGCGGCCUACUGGGCACCAACUGACGCUGAGGCUCGAAAGUGUGGGUAGCAAACAGGAUUAGAUACCCUGGUAGUCCACACCGUAAACGAUGAUUACUAGGUGUUGGGAGAUUGACCCUCUCAGUGCCGCAGUUAACGCAAUAAGUAUCCCGCCUGGGAAGUACGAUCGCAAGAUUAAAACUCAAAGGAAUUGACGGGGGCCCGCACAAGCGGUGGAGUAUGUGGUUUAAUUCGACGCAACGCGAAGAACCUUACCAGGUCUUGACAUUGAUCGCGAUCUGCAGAAAUGCGGAGUUCUUCUUCGGAAGACGAGAAAACAGGUGGUGCACGGCUGUCGUCAGCUCGUGUCGUGAGAUGUUGGGUUAAGUCCCGCAACGAGCGCAACCCUUAUGGUCAGUUACUACGCAAGAGGACUCUGGCCAGACUGCCGUUGACAAAACGGAGGAAGGUGGGGAUGACGUCAAAUCAUCAUGCCCUUUAUGACUUGGGCUACACACGUACUACAAUGGCGUUAAACAAAGAGAAGCAAGACCGCGAGGUGGAGCAAAACUCAGAAACAACGUCCCAGUUCGGACUGCAGGCUGCAACUCGCCUGCACGAAGUCGGAAUUGCUAGUAAUCGUGGAUCAGCAUGCCACGGUGAAUACGUUCCCG